AUCUUGCUGGAGAUUUCUGCAUACCAGAGGCCUUCUGAAGGAUGUCUGCAUGCCUGACAGCAAGCUGCUUAGCAGCACAGAGGUUUAAUGUCCUCAAUGGUAAAGAGUCCAGCAGACGAACUGUCUUUAAGUGAUGCUUAGCCACAGCAGAGGAGAAAAUCCUUUCUGUCCAGACUGCUCCAACUCACAGCCUGUCAUCGCAUCCCCUGAGAUGAGGACCCUCAGUUUAACAGCAUUUCCGUUGUUUUCUACACUGAUCAGCCAGCACUGUGAUCUGCUCACCAUAUUUGUAUCCCAAUCUGGUUCUCCAGGCUGCUGUUGAGUGUCAGCAUCUUUGCUCUCCUGCGAGCACUGGACACGGUCACCAUCACCACCCGGAAAAGCACAAAGGUGUUCACCUGUCAGAAAAGAGCCAGCAGACCCAUUAAGCUUCAGUGAUCUGAACUCCAAUGUGGAGAAGCCCCUCAACCAGCAUCCAUGAGAAGGCUGCCAUGAAUGAGAGAUGAAGGAAGGCAGUGACCAGGAAACACAGCACCUGGAGAGAACAGAAAUCACAUCUUCCUUCAUGAAGAAAAGUCCUCUGGAAAAUUCUGAGAAUGUGCAUCCAGGAAGAAAACAGCAACUCAUACAUUGCUGUUCUACAAUUGCUUAUAUUUCCUGAAGGCUUUUCUGGUAAGAAACAAGAGGUGAACUUUCCUGACAGAUUGCACGUUGCAAACGCGGAGUCACAAUUCUUUCCUAUAUGCAAAUUACAGGUAGUUAAUGAACUGUUAAUAGAAGGAAUUAAACUUCUGUUAGCUCUGCCAAUAACACCUCAGCAAGACUGGUCCUGCAAGGUAAACAGGGUUUGUUUUAGUGAGCUUACCUGGUUGGUCUUGGCCAAUUCACUGAACAUGAGCAGAGCUUCUGCUGCAGCUAAUGCAAAGAUCAGGUUCUUGUGCACUGUUGUUCGUUCACUCUUGGGGACGCUGAGGAAGGAGACAUGAAGCCCUCAGCUGCAGGCAAAUGAAGGGGUGUAUGUGUUCUGAAGGGUGCUUGCUGGGUUGUGCAGACCUGUCUGGGUAUUGUGCAAUCUCUCUACUAUUCACUGCAAAGAUGAUAGUCCAAAGAGGCAAGUGACUGCCACGGUGUGCAAGCACUUGGGUACAGCUCAGCCCUUGGCCAGUGCUCUGAGGGAUGGACAGGGAGUAGGUGGAGGACUUGCUGCUAUACUCACAUGGGGCUGAUCUCUGUGCUUGCUGAGUGAGAAAUGGUCAUUGCUCUGUUUAUUUUUUUUAAAUUUAGCUCUACCAGAGCAGCUUUUUAUGGGAAACAUUGUUUGUCUGAUAAAUGCCUUUCCUUGGGCACUGAGGUGUGUGUACAGUUCACAUAAAUAUCCCCAUGGAAACCAUGGUACUGCAUCCCCUCCCUAGGCAAUGCCAGCCCCUCCCUUCCCUACCCGCUGCUGCCAGCAACUGACUGCAGCUCCCCAGCUUUCCCCUGCCCAUCUACAGAACCUGACACUGACAAGCUGCACUUUCUAUACUCGUAUUGAAGCAAAAUAUCAAACAAAAAAACAUAUAGAGGCCACAAGUGCCAACUCUUCUUACCCAACUACCAAGAAUAAAAUGAAGGUAACAACCAGGGCACAGAAGGAAACUCCACAUCCAAUAAAAGUCAGGGUUUGUAGUGUGAGCUCAUCCUUGGUGGUCCUCUGCCCCAGUCAUGGAACAACAAAUGGCAAAACCCCCACAAAUUAACAACAUGCUGCUUGCAAUUCUUGCACCUACCCCCCAGACCAGCGGAGAAAGGCUGCUCACUUACCUCUAUCUCAUACACUUGCAGCAGCACAGCAAAGUUUGUAGUGUGGUUGCAGAAACAGACAGUGGAGUCUGGGAGAGAUGUCACCACGGAGCAGCCAGCUGUUGACCACAUCCCGCCAGCAUCUGGGCUAACGUGGCAAAAGAAAAAGUACUGAAAUGACCACCCACUUUAACAGAAAGCCAAGGCACUGAGGGAAUUUCAUGUGGAGUUGAAAUGAGGAAGAAGAGGGUAACAGAUGGCUCUUCCUGUGGUUUGGCCUGUGUCUCAGCAGUUUGCCUUAUUCAGUAGGCUUGCACAGGAAAACUGUCCUGAAUGCUUCUGUACCUACAAGCCUUUCUGUGGAAAUAAAAGCUUAUGAAUAUGGUGACCUGAACAAGAGCAAGGCACCUGAGGCUGAAGUUCCAGAAGGCACAGAUGGGCCCCACCAGCUUAUCAGGCAGGUCCUGCAGGAGAGAUGGAAAAGAAGAGGUUGCACAGCCACACACGCACAUGAUGCAGACUGGUGGCAGCCACUUACUGGGCUGCAGUGUAGCAGAGCAAGGGCUGUCAGUGUGGGACAUCACCCCUCUCGGGGUAAACAGAGGGCAAGGAAUUUCAAUGAAGUCAGGCCUGUCCUCCUCAGGGCUCUGGAUCAGGUAAGUCUCACUGCUCAGCUGCUGACUGCUCAGCUCCAGCUUCCUGACCUCCAUCCCUGUAGCAGAGG